rnacentral:rRNA from 1 species
GAUGAACGCUGGCGGCGUGCCUAAUACAUGCAAGUCGAGCGAACAGAUCAGGAGCUUGCUCCUUUGACGUUAGCGGCGGACGGGUGAGUAACACGUGGGUAACCUACCUAUAAGACUGGGAUAAAUUCGGGAAACCGGCGCUAAUACCGGAUAAUAUUUCGAACCGCAUGGUUAGAUAGUGAAAGAUGGUUUUGCUAUCACUUAUAGAAGGAUCCGCGCCGUAUUAGUUAGUUGGUAAGGUAACGGCUUACCAAGGCGACGAUACGUAGCCGACCUGAGAGGGUGAUCUCCCACACUGGAACUGAGACACGGUCCAGACUCCAACGGGAGGCAGCAGUAGGGAAUCUUCCACGAUGGGCGAAAGCCUGACGGAGCAACGCCGCGUGAGUGAUGAAGGUCUUCGGUUCGUAAAACUCUGUUAUUAGGGAAGAACAUACGUGUAAGUAACUGUGCACGUCUUGACGGUACCUAAUCAGAAAGCCACGGCUAACUACGUG